GUCCCCGGCGUCCGGGCGCCCUGCAUGGAUCCCCCACCCCAGCUCCUGCUCCCCGGCGGCGGCCGGUGGGCAGAAAGACCGAAACCCACUCACGGCCGCCUGCCGAAUCGCGGCUCUGCUGUUUGUGGGGCGUGCUAGAAACGUGGUCCUAAAAAGAAUGGCGUCCAUUUACAUAAUGCUUUGUUUGCGUUUCGCAAGUUUCUUUCGGUUAAAGCCACAGAAACCCCACCUCCUGCCCUUGUGUCGUUUCCACCGCGGCACCCUUUUCCGACAUUAGAAACAAUAGUGUACGCCUGUGGAGGCCUCGUUUGUUCAGGGGCUGCCGGCCAGGGCUUCAGGACGUUUCUGCGGCUUUCCCCGCGCGGCCUGGGCUCCCGCGGCUGCUUUUCGGGCCCAUGGGCGCAGCCACUGCGCCAGGCUCAAGGGGGGCGGCCCCGUCAGGGCCCGCCAUCUUGGAAGGCCUUUUUUGCCGGUUCUUCCCGCUGAGGAAGUGUCGCUCAAGACGCUGGCCUAUGAGUUGUGAUUUCUGCCUUUUCCCCUUCCUCCUUGGGCUAAGCCAGACCAGAAAGGGCCCCGUGCGCAACGUGCUUCACAAUCUCUCAGGGAAAGCGGCUAACGUGGCGCUACUCCGCCUCCCCUGUUCCUUACCCUUGGGGCGGCCGCCAUGUUUCCUGAACACAAAAUGGCGACACGUGGUUAGCAUUCGUCGCCAACGAGAAAUUGGGGUCGGCCCGAAAGCUCUAGAAUGCACCCCUCUUCCUCCCCGGGGCCUUCCACCUCCGCGAGUUUUAUGACUUAAAAAAGCCCACAGGCUGGUCUGAAGGUCGGAGGCCUAAUUUUAACGCGUUUUCCUCCCUUUAAUUUGAAACGGGAACGCGAAUGACUGUAAAAUGUGGGCACAAUAUUUAAUCUCUCGCCUUUUUAAAGCUUAAUAGUGGAUAAUAGGGGGGCAGUAUCAAGGGAUAAUUUGGGUCCCCACAGUACCAAAGCAUUUAGAAACCUCUGUUUAAUUUAAGGAAUGAGAUAAGUUACUGCUUUUCUAGACUUCCUAGCAUGGGCUGUUGUGCUGGAGAGAACGAGAGCUACGAAGAGACUACAGUGCCUCUGACUUUUUCAUAGGACAGUUGGCCGGUGAAUCUUAUUAAUAGUUUACCACAAUUAAGUGUUCAUUUUUAGUCUAGAAGGGACAGGCGUUUAUUGUGCAUUGGCCAGUGCCAGCACAUCCGAUGCAAGGCAGUUCACCGUAUUCUAUCUUUAAUUUUUACCAUGGUCCUCUGAGGUAGGUGUUCUUAUCUCUCUCUCUCUCUCUCUCUUUUAAACAGAGGAAGACAAACAUAAAGAUGAAGUGCUUAAUUCAAGGUCACACAAUGUCGGGGAUGGACCUCCAGAUUUCCUUACUGACCUGCAUUAUCUUGUGGAUACCUGAGUGAAUUCCACACCACCCAUUUUAUAGAUGAAACCACUGAGACAUGGAGCAAUUGACUGAGUAGUCACUGCCCCACCCCUGCCUGGAGCCUCACACAUGACUCGCCUCCUCUCAGUGACCACAGGUUGGUUGAGGGGUUUAACAAGGCUAAGAAGGUGAGACGUGGUCUUGUAACACAGUGGUUAAGAAUGUGACUUUGGAGCCAGCCUGCUAGGGGCUGAAUUCUGACUCAGCCAUUUACUAACUGUGUGACCUUAGUUCCCUGAGCACAUGCUGUUGAGUAAUCCUGCCUGGACCAGUACUUCCCUCACCCUAGACUUCACCUUCAGUUCCCCUUUAUACCACCUGCUGAAGCUGCCAGCCAGCCUUUUCGACCACCCUCCCUCCCCCAGGGGUGUUUGGCUUCUCAGACCCCAGCCUGAGCUAGUGCCCUUGGCUUCCUAGGGUCUUGCCAGGAAAGCAAAGGAGAACAUGCAUACCGCCAAAGAGUACCUAAUAAUAAGAACUCCCAUCCUGAAUUGUGAUUUAUAGUCAGCAUAGCACAUGUGUCAGGGAGGAGGACCUGGUUGAUAGAAGAAUUUAUCUCGUAGUCUUAACAUCCACUGUAAUUCCAAACUUUGAGGACGAUAGAGAUCAGUGGGCUUUGACUGCCCAGCAUGCAGUCUCCAUUCUUAGGUGGGUUCCCAAGCCUGUAAAAUGUAAGCCUUAUGCUGCUGAGGGCCAUCUUGCCACCCUGAGGGAAACGCUGCCUGAGAAUGAAACAAGCAUAAGUAAAAGCUGAGCUGUGAGAUGGAGCAAGAUGAAGGCCACAUGACAUCUUUGGAGCACCUGGAUCUAACUGUGCCUUAAGCUAGUCUAACCCUGAACAUUUCAUCAUUUCAUUGACAUGAGCCCAGGUUUUCUUUUUUUUUGGAUGGAGUCUUGCUCUGUCGCCCAGGCUGGAGUGCAGUAGCUCAAUCUCGGCUCACUGCAAGCUCCACCUCCCGGGUUCACGCCAUUCUCCUGCCUUAGCCUCCCAAGUAGCUGGGACAACAGGCGCCCACCACCACUCCCAGCUAAUUUUUUGUAUUUUUAGUAGAGACGGGGUUUUACCAUGUUAGCCGGGAUGGUCUUGAUCUCCUGACCUCAUGAUCCGCCCGCCUCGGCCUCCCAAAGUGCUGGGAUUACAGGUGUGAGCCACUGCACCCAGCCCUCAGGUUUUCCCUUUUUUUACCCCUCCUUUUGAAAAUUUGAUGUGGAAUUUUGCCACCUGCAGCCAGAAGAGUUUUAACUAAUCAGUGCCAUAAAUUUUAUAUAGUUCUCCUUGCAAAAUGUGGAUCAGCCUUUCUCAGCAAAUCCUUUGUCAUAAAGUGCUGAAUUGUAAGUUUGUCAUGAGAAUCACAUGAGAUCAUGCAUGUGAAGAACCUGGCAUUAUCCUCCUCAUAGAAAAAAACCAGUAAAUAUUAACUACAGGAAGCAAGGAAGGAGUGGGGUGAGGGGAAGAAGAAGGGGUACUGAUUUAAAAGAACCCUGGAGUCCUAAGGAUAAUCUAGGAACCCUCAGACCCAAUCCGAUACCCCUAUUCUAAAUGCUCCUAGUGCCCUGUACCUUCCCCUCAUAAGCCUUCAUUAUCAUUGUAAUGAUAUGUUUAUGUAAUAUUUUGAUUAAUGUCUCUCCUUCACUGACCUAGCAGUUCUAGCAGGGCAGUGAUUUUGCUGUGUUGCAUCCCCAGCACCUAGUCUGGUAUGUGGCAUUCAGCAUAUGUUUAUUGAAUGAAUGGCCAUGUGGUUAUUCAGAUCCUCCUUGAUUAUUGGGGUUAGGAUUGUGGCAGAAGUGGCAAAAUCAGGGAGAGUAGUCCCUGUCCCCUCUGUAUCUUAUACACUGCCCACACUCCCAACACACAUACACAUACAGAGAAUUUUGUCUCAAUUAGAUAAUUAACUUCUGCUUGGUUGUAAACCAAACCACUGGUUCUUAAACUUUCAUUGGAUCAUUUUAUUGAAGAAUUAAAUAGUGUGGUUCUGGCCUAAUGUCUGGAAAGCCUUGCAGAGGAGUGGAUUAGGUCUUUGUGAUAAACAGGCAGCCUUCCCUGCUCCUGUGUCUUUAUAAAAUCUAUUUAACUGGAGUAGUCCACCCUCCCUCAGGCUCUUACAGGAAUAUGUUGGAGGCUGUAGGAAGGUGGGAAACCGAGAGGGAAAGGACUGGGCCGCUGGAGACUUCACUCAUUCCCUAGCAAGAAACAAAAGCAGUAAAAGGUGGCCCGAGGACAACCUGAAGCUCACUCCUUCAGCACUUUUGGCUGGAGGUCACUUGUUGGAGCCCCACUCAGAGCUCAGCACACCACCCCACCAGCAGCCUCCUCCUCCCAGCUGAGGCUGCAUUUCAUCCCUUCCCCCAGCCUGCUUUCCCUGAGAUAGGGGAGUGUUUCCCAGGGCCCAUGUGACUUCCACUGGCAAGUGACGAUUACCAAUGGUUUACUAGUCAGUGAAACUACCAAAGGCUUUUGUGCUGUAGUAAUCCUUUUCCUGUUUAAAACUCUGGGGAUUUUCUAAUGUUGCCAAUAGUUUUUCAAGUCAGCAAUUACUGUGUGGAUUAUGUAAUGGCUCGGUAUUAAAAAUAGAAAAGACUGGA
rnacentral:lncRNA from 1 species